rnacentral:pre_miRNA from 1 species
UUUGCGGAUAGUGUUCAACACCAAAGACAGAUGUGUUUGGUUGUGUGGAUGGUGUUCAGCACUAGAGACAGGUGUGAUUCCCU